rnacentral:rRNA from 1 species
GACGAACGCUGGCGGCGUGCUUAACACAUGCAAGUCGAACGGAAAGACCCUGCUUUUGUGGGGUGCUCGAGUGGCGAACGGGUGAGUAACACGUGAGUAACCUGCCCUUGACUUUGGGAUAACUUCAGGAAACUGGGGCUAAUACCGGAUAGGAGCUCCUGCUGCAUGGUGGGGGUUGGAAAGUUUCGGCGGUUGGGGAUGGACUCGCGGCUUAUCAGCUUGUUGGUGGGGUAGUGGCUUACCAAGGCUUUGACGGGUAGCCGGCCUGAGAGGGUGACCGGGCCACUUGGGGAUUGGGUUCGGCCCAAGCCUCCUCCGGGGGGCAGCAGGGGGAAAUGUGGAAAAAGGGGGGGAGGCCUGAUGCAGCACCGCCGGGUGCGGAAGGCCGGCCUUCGGUUUGAAACCCGUUUCCGCGUGGGACGAAGGGGGGGGGACGGAAGGGGAUAAAGAAGCACCGGCUAACUCCGUG